rnacentral:rRNA from 1 species
AACGAACGCUGGCGGCGUGCCUAACACAUGCAAGUCGAGCGAACGGAAGAGAAGCUUGCUUCUCGGAUGUUAGCGGCGGACGGGUGAGUAACACGUGGGCAACCUGCCCGUAAGACUGGGAUAACUCCGGGAAACCGGGGCUAAUACCGGAUAAUGCUUUGGUCUUCAUGGACUGAAGCUGAAAGAUGGUUUCGGCUAUCACUUACGGAUGGGCCCGCGGCGCAUUAGCUAGUUGGUGAGGUAACGGCUCACCAAGGCGACGAUGCGUAGCCGACCUGGGAGGGUGAUCGGCCACACUGGGACUUAGACACGGCCCAGACUCCUACGGGAGGCAGCCGUAGGGAAUCUUCCGCAAUGGACGAAAGUCUGACGGAGCAACGCCGCGUGAGUGAAGAAGGUUUUCGGAUCGUAAAACUCUGUUGUUAGGGAAGAACACGUACAAGAGUAACUGCUUGUACCUUGACGGUACCUAACCAGAAAGCCACGGCUAACUACGUGCCAGCAGCCGCAGUAAAAC